GUGCUUACUUCGUGCAGCACAUAUACUAAAAUUGGAGCAAUAGAGAUUAGCAUGUCCUCUGCGCAAGGGUGAUAUGAAAAUUUGUGAAGUGUUCCAUAUUUUA